rfam:Gorilla gorilla gorilla genomic chromosome, chr8, whole genome shotgun sequence
AGCUUUGCGCAGUGGCAGUAUCGUAGCCAAUGAGGUUUCUCCGAGGUGCGAUUAUUGCUAAUAGAAAGCCAUG